rfam:Gossypium hirsutum cultivar TM-1 chromosome 15, whole genome shotgun sequence
AGUCCAUGAUGAGGACACCUUCUCAAUAGAUCCUUAAAUCUCUCUCAUGCAUUGUAAAUCAUCUCAAGGUCAAAUUGAACAAAAGAAGAGAUGUCAUUCCUCAACUU